GCCCAACCUACCCUAGAGAAGAUAGAUAACCCCUGAGAAAACUAGGGUUAAACUACCAUAGGAGGCGGGAUCUGGAAAGACCCGCCUCUGAAAGUGGUGUACGGGGAUGCCUGUACACCAGCCCUAGGAUGGGGCUGCGGCCCAUCAUGGUUGUUGGUGGGGUAACGGCCCACCAAGCCUAUAACGGGUACGGGCCCUGAGAGGGGGAGCCCGGAGAUGGACUCUGAGACAAGAGUCCAGGCCCUACGGGGCGCAGCAGGCGCGAAAACUCCCCAAUGCCCGAAAGGGUGAGGGGGUCACCCCGAGUGCCACCCUCGCGGUGGCUUUUGCGGGGUCUAAAAAGCCCCGCGAAUAAGGGGAGGGCAAGACGGGUGUCAGCCGCCGCGGUAAUACCCGCUCCCCGAGUGGUGGGGACUAUUACUGGGCUUAAAGCACCCGUAGCCGGCCGGAUGUGUCUCCCGUUAAAUCCACGGGCCUAACCCGUGGGCUGCGGGAGAUACUAUCCGGCUUGGGGGUGGGAGAGGGCGGCGGUAUUCCCGGGGUAGGGGUAAAAUCCACUGAUCCCGGGAGGACCACCGGUGGCGAAGGCGGCCGCCCAGAACACGCCCGACGGUGAGGGGUGAAAGCUGGGGGAGCAAACGGGAUUAGAUACCCCGGUAGUCCCAGCUGUAAACGAUGCGGGCUAGGUGUCGGGUGGGCUACGGGCUCACCCGGUGCCGAAGGGAAACCAUUA
rnacentral:rRNA from 1 species